rnacentral:rRNA from 1 species
CGGCGACCGGCGCACGGGUGAGUAACGCGUAUCCAACCUUCCCAUUACUGUGGGAUAACCUGCCGAAAGGCAGACUAAUACCGCAUAGUCUUCGAUGACGGCAUCAGAUUUGAAGUAAAGAUUUAUCGGUAAUGGAUGGGGAUGCGUCUGAUUAGCUUGUUGGCGGGGUAACGGCCCACCAAGGCGACGAUCAGUAGGGGUUCUGAGAGGAAGGUCCCCCACAUUGGAACUGAGACACGGUCCAAACUCCUACGGGAGGCAGCAGAG